ACAGCGAUCUGAGCGAUGGUGUUUCAUAGUGUGGUUAGGUUGUUUGGUGGCAGAUUUGAGGUGUUAUGUCUGAUACCUUUUACGGCGAGAACUGUGGAAAAGGAAAUAAGUCUUCUUUGGUGAAACUUAAGACUGAAGUUAAGUGGUAAAAAGAACUAUACUACAGGCAGAGUCGUGUGUGAGUUUCUCGAGCUAUACAAAGAUUUUCGUGGAAUCCAAAACUCGUCAUGAUUCGGACUAAGAUUGACAGGAAAAAAUAAACACUGAAGACAAAUUCAUAAGCCAGGUAACUUCGUCUCAAGCUGCGAAAAAUGGCUUUUCCUUUCGCUAGUUUGACUUAUACAAACCAGGAUGUUCAUGGAACGGUGAUAUUCAGUACAAAAGGAAGACUUCUGUCAAUCAAGAACUCGAGUGGACGUUGCUUUUGCCCUCCACAAUAUUUUUUGAAUAAGGUGAGAGUGGAGCCUGGCGUUGCUGAUGUCUUCCAGUUUAUUCCAAAUGAUGUCCUGUGUUGAUGGCUCAAAAUUAAUAAUUAAAUAAUUAGUAUUAAAUGAGGCCCACGAAUUACAUCCUUAAUUACUUUAAUGAUAGCAAUUAUAAUGUAAUUUCUCGCCAUAGAUUCAAAGUAAAAUAAGUAAAACAUUUAAAAGGUAUUUUAUGCUAAUUGCUUGGAUCAGGUAGAAAUUUGCUCAUCCUAUCUCUUAUCCCAGUCUUACCAUUCUGUGUAAGUGACAUUUUAUACAUU